rnacentral:lncRNA from 1 species
UUAAAACAUCAAUCAGAAUAUUAUAACUAUAAUCCCAAAAAAAAAAAAACUUUUUGCUUUCUAUGCGUAUAUCCAUCUUAUCAAUAAUAUAUCGGAAAGAACCUUUUGUGACUCUAUAUAUUAUGAAGUAAAGGCACACUAUGAUACUCGUCUUGAUUAUCUCUCAUCUAGAAACCGCAAACAUGUUGUUUAGUUUGCCAAGGAACAUUAUGAGAGAAUAAUAAUGGUUUUCUUCUUACUCACCCUUUGUCCAAAUGACCAAGAAGUUAUAUUAAUCUGGUCAUUCUAGGCUUUGGCAGAAAGAGUAAAUUAAUAAAUGAGAAAUCUUUGAUCCUCCCCUACUCAAUUAGAUAGGGCCCCAAAGCUCCUCAUCAACAUCUAAGUCUUCAUGUGGAAUUUUAUGAGAAGGAAUGAUCUCAUUAAGCACCGCACCAUUCCACAACACUUGUCUUUGAGAGACGAGAUACAAUGCCAUACAAAAAAUAGCCGAGAAUCCAAUAUCCUCCACAAUAUUUUUGACAAAACUCGCUCAAUUCAUCCGCAUAAACUUUCUCAAGGUCAAUUUUGAUGACAA